ACACGAGCUUCUUCCAGCUUCUUCUAAAUGAAACACGGCUUCUUCUUCUUCUCUCCGUAGCACAAGCUACUUCUUCUCUCCGUGGCUGCUACUUCUGCUUCUUCCACCGCUGCCGCCAUUGCGUCGCACAAUCUCUCUCUGUCAUCCCUUGCGUCGCACGAGAUCCCUCCGCCGCUGCUCUUGUCGCAUCUACUCCCAUCGUCGCAGAGCUCUCUCUGCCGCCGCUCUCAUCGCAUCUGCUCCCUCUGGCUCCUCUUCCAUUUAAUCUCAACUCGUUCUCUCAGUUCUUCUUGUAACCAUAUUAAAUUUUAGGUUUACUCUAAUUUUGAUGAAUUAUUUUCUGCAAUUGAAGCUUUUUUGACUUAAAAUUCAUGAGAGCAGCAACUGGAAGGAGACUAUCGAGAGCUUCACUCGCGAUUGAGGACUCACUUGAAAAUUAUAGCAUUUUAUGGUGGAGAGAUGAGAGAAAAAGCCCAUAUUCAACAGAAGUUUAAGACCUUGGUUAGGCAUUUGAGUAGUGUCCUACAUGACCAUUGGUGGUUUGUCAUGAUUCAGGACUUUUUAUUGAAGUAUCUUGGUGCUACAGUUGCUAUUAUUCUGAUAAUUGAGCCUUUCUUUUCUGGCCAUCUAAGGUCUGACAGUUCAACUUUAGGGGUGCAGAGAUGCUAAGCAAUCUAAGAUAUCAUACUAGUGUUAUUGUUUCCCUAUUUCAGUCACUGGAAACUCUUUUUAUUAGUGCAAAACGGCUCAAUCGACUCAGUGGUUAUGCUUAUCGCAUUCAUGAGUUAAUGGCUGCAUCAAGGGAGCUAAGCCUGGAGAAUGAGAAAUCUUCACUCCAAAGCAGAGGAAGUAGAAGUUUCAUAAGUGAAGCUAACUACAUUGAAUUCUCUGGUGUCAA